rnacentral:rRNA from 1 species
CUGAGUACGGCGGAACACGUGAAAUUCCGUCGGAAUCCGGGAGGACCAUCUCCCAAGGCUAAAUACUCCCUAGUGACCGAUAGUGAACCAGUACCGUGAGGGAAAGGUGAAAAGCACCCCGGAAGGGGAGUGAAACAGUUCCUGAAACCGUGUGCCUACAAGUAGUUAGAGCCCGUUAAUGGGUGAUAGCGUGCCUUUUGUAGAAUGAACCGGCGAGUUACGAUUUGUUGCAAGGUUAAGCGGAAAAAGCGGAGCCGUAGCGAAAGCGAGUCUGAAUAGGGCGCAUAAGUAACAGGUCGUAGACCCGAAACCAGGUGAUCUACCCAUGUCCAGGAUGAAGGUAAGGUAAUACUUACUGGAGGUCCGAACCCACGCACGUUGAAAAGUGCGGGGAUGAGGUGUGGGUAGCGGAGAAAUUCCAAUCGAACUUGGAGAUAGCUGGUUCUCUCCGAAAUAGCUUUAGGGCUAGCCUCGAGGUAAAGAGUCAUGGAGGUAGAGCACUGUUUGGACUAGGGGCCCUUCUCGGGUUACCGAAUUCAGAUAAACUCCGAAUGCCAUGUACUUAUACUCGGGAGUCAGACUGCGAGUGAUAAGAUCCGUAGUCGAAAGGGAAACAGCCCAGACCACCAGUUAAGGUCCCCAAAUAUAUGUUAAGUGGAAAAGGAUGUGGGGUUGCUUAGACAACCAGGAUGUUGGCUUAGAAGCAGCCACCAUUGAAAGAGUGCGUAAUAGCUCACUGGUCGAGUGACCCCGCGCCGAAAAUGUACCGGGGCUAAACAUAUUACCGAAACUGUGGAUGAACCUCUUUAGAGGUUCGUGGUAGGAGAGCGUUCUAAGGGCGGUGAAGUCAGACCGGAAGGACUGGUGGAGCGCUUAGAAGUGAGAAUGCCGGUAUGAGUAGCGAAAGAAGGGUGAGAAUCCCUUCCACCGAAUAUCUAAGGUUUCCUGAGGAAGGCUCGUCCGCUCAGGGUUAGUCGGGACCUAAGCCGAGGCCGAUAGGCGUAGGCGAUGGACAACAGGUAGAGAUUCCUGUACCAGUGCUAAUUGUUUAACCGAUGGGGUGACACAGAAGGAUAGGGAAUCGCACGAAUGGAAAUGUGCGUCCAAGCAGUGAGUGUGAGAAGUAGGCAAAUCCGCUUCUCGCGAAGCAUGAGCUGUGAUGGGGAAGGAAAUUAAGUACGGAAGUUCCUGAUUUCACGCUGUCAAGAAAAGCCUCUAGGAAGAGUAGUACUGCCCGUACCGCAAACCGACACAGGUAGAUGAGGAGAGAAUCCUAAGGUGAGCGAGAGAACUCUCGUUAAGGAACUCGGCAAAAUGACCCCGUAACUUCGGGAGAAGGGGUGCUCUAUUAGGGUGCAAGCCCGAGAGAGCCGCAGUGAAUAGGCCCAGGCGACUGUUUAGCAAAAACACAGGUCUCUGCAAAACCGUAAGGUGACGUAUAGGGGCUGACGCCUGCCCGGUGCUGGAAGGUUAAGAGGAGUGCUUAGCUUCGGCGAAGGUACGAAUUGAAGCCCCAGUAAACGGCGGCCGUAACUAUAACGGUCCUAAGGUAGCGAAAUUCCUUGUCGGGUAAGUUCCGACCCGCACGAAAGGCGCAACGAUCUGGGCACUGUCUCAACGAGAGACUCGGUGAAAUUAUAGUACCUGUGAAGAUGCAGGUUACCCGCGACAGGACGGAAAGACCCCGUGGAGCUUUACUGCAACCUGAUAUGGAAUGUUUGUACCGCUUGUACAGGAUAGG